GAAAUGCGAUAAGUAGUGUGAAUUGCAGAAUUCAGUGAAUCAUCGAAUCUUUGAACGCACAUUGCGCCCCUUGGUAUUCCAUGGGGCAUGCCUGUUCGAGCAUCAUCUACACCCUCAAGCUCUGCUUGGUGUUGGGCGUCUGUCCCGCCCCCGCGCGUGGACUCGCCCCAAAUCCAUUGGCAGCGUUCCUUGCCCCCUCUCGCGCAGCACAUUGCGCUUCUCGAGGGCGGCUCCGGGACGCGAUCCAGCAAGAUGACCACCGUCUUUGACCUCGGAUCAGGUAGGGAUACCCGCUGAACUUAAGC
rnacentral:misc_RNA from 1 species